CCUACGGGUGGCAGCAGUGGGGAAUAUUGCGCAAUGGGCGAAAGCCUGACGCAGCAACGCCGCGUGAGGGAUGAAGGUCUUCGGAUCGUAAACCUCUGUCAGCAGGGAAGAACGGUCACUGUGCUAAUCAGCAUUGAAUUGACGGUACCUGCAAAGGAAGCACCGGCUAACUCCGUGACAGCAGCCGCGGUAAUACGGAGGGUGCGAGCGUUAAUCGGAAUUACUGGGCGUAAAGGGCUCGUAGGCGGUAUGUCAGGUCAAGGGUGAAAUCCCCGCGCUCAACGUGUGAACUGCCGUUGAAACGGGCAAACUGGAGUGUGUGAGAGGAUAGUGGAAUUCCAGGUGUAGGAGUGAAAUCCGUAGAUAUCUGGAGGAACACCAGUGGCGAAGGCGACUAUCUGGCACAUAACUGACGCUGAGGAGCGAAAGCGUGGGUAGCAAACAGGAUUAGAUACCCUGGUAGUC
rnacentral:rRNA from 1 species